rnacentral:rRNA from 1 species
AGAGUUUGAUCCUGGCUCAGAUUGAACGCUGGCGGCAGGCUUAACACAUGCAAGUCGAGCGGUAGCACAAGGGAGCUUGCUCCCUGGGUGACGAGCGGCGGACGGGUGAGUAAUGUCUGGGAAACUGCCUGAUGGAGGGGGAUAACUACUGGAAACGGUAGCUAAUACCGCAUAACGUCGCAAGACCAAAGAGGGGGACCUUCGGGCCUCUUGCCAUCAGAUGUGCCCAGAUGGGAUUAGCUAGUAGGUGGGGUAAUGGCUCACCUAGGCGACGAUCCCUAGCUGGUCUGAGAGGAUGACCAGCCACACUGGAACUGAGACACGGUCCAGACUCCUACGGGAGGCAGCAGUGGGGAAUAUUGCACAAUGGGCGCAAGCCUGAUGCAGCCAUGCCGCGUGUGUGAAGAAGGCCUUCGGGUUGUAAAGCGCUUUCAGCGAGGAGGAAGGUGGUGAGCUUAAUACGUUCAUCAAUUGACGUUACUCGCAGAAGAAGCACCGGCUAACUCCGUGCCAGCAGCCGCGGUAAUACGGAGGGUGCAAGCGUUAAUCGGAAUUACUGGGCGUAAAGG